UACGUAGGGGGCAAGCGUUGUCCGGAUUUAUUGGGCGUAAAGAGCUCGUAGGCGGCUCGUCGCGUCGACUGUGAAAACCUGGGGCUUAACCCUGGGCUUGCAGUCGAUACGGGCGGGCUAGAGUUCGGUAGGGGAGACGUGGAAUUCCCGGUGUAGUGGUGAAAUGCGUAGAUAUCGGGAGGAACACCAGUGGCGAAGGCGGCUUCCUGGCCUGUUCUUGACGCUGAGGCGGCGAAAAGCU
rnacentral:rRNA from 1 species